ensembl:snRNA U6 U6 spliceosomal RNA
GUGCUCACUUUGGCAGUACAUACUUUUAAAAUUAGAAUGAUACAGAGAAGAUUAGCAUGGCUCCUAUGCAAGGAUGACAGACAAAUUCAUGAAGCAUUUCAUUAAAAA